UACGGAGGGGGCGAGCGUUAUUCGGAAUUAUUGGGCGUAAAGGGCUCGUAGGCGGCCAACUAAGUCAUACGUGAAAUCCCUCGGCUUAACCGGGGAACUGCGUCUGAUACUGGAUGGCUUGAGUUCGGGAGAGGGAUGCGGAAUUCCAGGUGUAGCGGUGAAAUGCGUAGAUAUCUGGAGGAACACCGGUGGCGAAGGCGGCAUCCUGGACCGAUACUGACGCUGAGGAGCGAAAGCCAGGGGAGCAAACGGG
rnacentral:rRNA from 1 species